AGUUUUGGGGUGACACAGUUCAGCCCUCAGCAGGCAAUGACUGAAGUUCCGGCCGCUCUGGGCUCUCUAUCCAGCAGCUGGGUGACCUUGGACCAGUCCCCGCUUCCCUUAUCGCCAACCCCGGGAGUCAGACUAGAUCACCCUGGAUCUCUGCAGCUCCAAGGCUCUGUGGGAACCAGUAGCAGUGUCGUGUUGGGAUGCCCUACGGCACGAGUGAGGGCUUUGGCACCAGGACCACCCAUCCCUGGUGCGCUCUGGUUUCUUGAUAUUUGACAACAGACUUCGUUAGCUGUGCUGGGCAAGCUGAGCAUUUCUCCCGGGCUCUGGAAGCAACAGCAGCAGCGUCUCAGCUGGAAACAUCCUCAGUGACACGUUGUCUGGGCUUCUCCCAUCUGUUGGGUCCUGAGAUGGCAGCUCCUGAUCGUGCACUGGAGGAAGGAAGGAAGAGGUCUGGGGCCUCCUAAGCAUAACAAGGGCACUUUCUAAUCAGGGUAACUCUAUAUACAUGCGCUGUCAAAGAUCAAAGCUGGAGCAAACCAACCAGGGAAUGCAAAGCAGUCAGCAGGAACAGCAAAACCCUCACUGUGGGCGCCCAGGCAGACACACGCUGUCACAGCGGGCUUCGGCGGGCCGGGAGCCCGUCCCUACCUUUCCAGGUCCCCGGAGUCAGCCGGGGUAGCCAGGCCUCCGGAACAAGCCUGAAGCUUGCGGCCUCUUCUUUACCCUGCUGUGCGCCUCCGAGGGCAGUAGCCCUGUGGGUCAGCUGGCCCCCGAGCCCCCGGCCCAAGGGAAGAGAAGCAGGACAUCGCAACACAGAUGCGCAGGGGAGUCGUCGUGAGGGACCAGUGAGAUUCUCGAGCGUGCAGAGCCAGCGCCCAGUACAGGGCCACUGUCUGUGUGUUUAUGUUGUGCAAGCCUCUGUUGAUUCGGGGGCACACUGGUUAUCAUAUCAGCAGGGAAUUCCAUGUGUGGUUUUGUCACAAGGUGAGGCAAUCAGGGGGCGUUGUCCCUUGAUCGUCUCCACAGAGGUGGAUCCCUUCCCAGGACAAAGGGCAGGUAAA
rnacentral:lncRNA from 1 species